CAAGGAUUCCCCUAGUAACUGCGAGUGAAGCGGGAAAAGCUCAAAUUUAAAAUCUGGCGGUCUUUGGCCGUCCGAGUUGUAGUCUGGAGAAGUGCUUUCCGCGCUGGACCGUGUAUAAGUCUCUUGGAACAGAGCGUCAUAGAGGGUGAGAAUCCCGUCUUUGACACGGACUACCAGUGCUUUGUGAUGCGCUCUCAAAGAGUCGAGUUGUUUGGGAAUGCAGCUCAAAAUGGGUGGUGAAUUCCAUCUAAAGCUAAAUAUUGGCGAGAGACCGAUAGCGAACAAGUACCGUGAGGGAAAGAUGAAAAGCACUUUGGAAAGAGAGUUAAACAGUACGUGAAAUUGCUGAAAGGGAAACGCUUGAAGUCAGUCGCGUUGUCCGGAACUCAGCCUUGCUUUUGCUUGGUGCACUUUCCGGAUGACGGGUCAGCAUCGAUUUUGACCGUCGGAAAAGGGCUGGAGUAAUGUGGCACCUCCGGGUGUGUUAUAGACUCCGGUCGCAUACGGCGGUUGGGAUCGAGGAACGCAGCGCGCCGCAAGGCAGGGGUUCGCCCACUUUCGCGCUUAGGAUGCUGGCAUAAUGGCUUUAAACGACCCGUCUUGAAACACGGACCAAGGAGUCUAACAUACCUGCGAGUGUUUGGGUGGUAAACCCGAGCGCGUAAUGAAAGUGAAAGUUGAGAUCCCUGUCGUGGGGAGCAUCGACGCCCGGACCUGACGUUCUCUGACGGAUCCGCGGUAGAGCAUGUAUGUUGGGACCCGAAAGAUGGUGAACUAUGCCUGAAUAGGGUGAAGCCAGAGGAAACUCUGGUGGAGCUCGUAGCGAUUCUGACGUGCAAAUCGAUCGUCAAAU
rnacentral:rRNA from 1 species